UACGUAGGGACCAAGCGUUGUUCGGAUUUACUGGGCGUAAAGGGCGCGUAGGCGGCUUAACAAGUCACUUGUGAAAUCUCCGGGCUUAACUCGGAACGGCCAAGUGAAACUGUCAAGCUAGAGUGCAGAAGGGGCAAUCGGAAUUCUUGGUGUAGCGGUGAAAUGCGUAGAUAUCAAGAGGAACACCUGAGGUGAAGACGGGUUGCUGGGCUGACACUGACGCUGAGGCGCGAAAGCCAGGGGAGCAACGGG
rnacentral:rRNA from 1 species